GGCGCGCGAACAGGUCGCGCGUCCGCGACCGAAGCCCGUGCCCCGCCGGCAUCUUGCCCUUCCUUCCUCUGCUCCUACCUGCGGCUGUGCGGCGGCGGCGGGAGUGUGUGCGGCGCUAGGGUUACAGCGAGAGGAGGUUGCUACCUAUUUAUAAAAGGACCUCGGGCCGUGGAGCCAUAUGCGGUAUUUGGGCUAGGCUUCCGUAAUUUGCCUCGGGCCUAUCAUGGGCUUCAGUAAUUUGCCUCUGUGUGCUAUUGGGUUAAUCUGUGACCCAGCUAUUUGACGGAUUACACUUUGGGGUCCAACAAAUGCAGGCCGGCUAUUGGGCUUGGACACCACACGCGAGAAAAAAAGAGCGCGUCGGACACGAAUAUGAGUCGGAAAAAAAGGUCUCGGACGCUAGUCGCGAACUUCAGUCCGACUCGAAUUUGUGCACGAGACGGCCACGCUGAGCCUAACCCAGCGUCUCCUCCUCACGAAACACACGGCUGACCGUGUGCUGAACCAGCUGCUGACGGAGAUGGAUGGCAUGAACGCGAAGAAGACGGUCUUCAUCAUCGGAGCCACCAACAGGCCGGACAUCAUCGACUCGGCGCUGCUCCGUCCGGGCCGCCUCGACCAGCUCAUCUACAUCCCAUUGCCGGACGAGGCCUCACGGCACCAGAUCUUCAAGGCAUGCCUCAGGAAGUCUCCGCUGGCCAAGAACGUCGACCUCGGCGCGCUUGCGAGGUUCACCAAGGGCUUUAGCGGUGCCGACAUCACGGAGAUUUGCCAGAGGGCGUGCAAGUACGCGAUUAGGGAAGACAUCGAGAAGGAUAUCGAGAGGGAGAGGCUGGGGAAGGAAGCCAUGGAGGUGGACGACUCCGGAGAGGUGGCUGAGAUCAAGGCGGCGCACUUCGAGGAGUCGAUGAAGUACGCCAGGAGGAGCGUCAGUGAUCGCGACAUCACCAAGUAUCGGGCCUUCGCGCAGACGCUGCAGCAGUCCAGGGGCUUCGGCACCGAGUUCCGCUUCCCUGAGCAGUCCAAACCGGCAGAAGCUGCUGCUCCCACGGCCAACGCCUCCGCCGCAGCUGAUGAAAGAUGAUGAUCUUUACAACUGAGUCGCGUGCUAUGGCGGGCAAUUAGUCUCCGACUUCAGUUUUUGUGUAGAUGUUUGCUUUUUUGCGAGGAGAUUUUUGGUUGUUUGUUAAGUGUUGGCAAGUGUACUCGUCAUUAGCUUAAUUCAAAUAAAUUUAAUCAAAGAAAUAAAUUUGUCUUUUGUUCAUCGGGUAUCACCGCGUGUUUGUUUUUAUUCCUUACUUCAAAUAAAUUUUUGUUUGCUUGUUCUGGCGAAGGACCAAGUUCGACAGCCAGCCUUUCUGAACUUGUCGAUUUUGCUACAGUUCUGGACAUCUCGCAGUAACAAAAUCUCAGAACCUUCAGUAAGUCAGUUUGCUUUUCUCGUCAGUAUAACUUCGCCGCAGAGCUCAUAUAGAACUAGGAUCUAAGCACUUAAGUAGUACUCCAGACUGUAGCAAAAUCGACAAGUAAUCAGCAUCUGCAGAAUCAACAGUACUAACAAGCUAGAACGGAACUUGCCGGCCGUGUGUCGAUGCCAUUUGACAUUUCAAUACAUCACUCUACUGCAAGGUUAUCUAGGUUAUUCUUGCAGUUAUCCAGUGAAGCGUUUCAAUUCCAAGCAGCUCAAGGAUGGCAGCCCGCCAGCCCCCUUGCUAAAAAAACGCUCUACUGUAGGGGUUAAUGCCAGAUGCAAUUUGUUGCAUAAACAAAGCAAGUUACUGACGAAUAAUCCAUUGAAAUUUGAUAAGAAAUCACAAUCUGUGACACAAGUCAAAAAGAAUUUCGAGAGGUCAACCGGUUUGCAAGAGUAUCUGUUCCUGGAUCAGAUCGACUUCUGUGGUGUCUCUCUUUUUUUUUCAUUUUUGAUAAGACCAUGGAGGUAACUCUCUCCGGCUCGGACUUUACAUUGACAAGUAAAACGACACAGGGUACAUCGAUAACGUACUGUCAAAGCAAAGACAGUACAGCAAAACAAAAACAAGAACUACAGGUAUAUCUCAUACCAGAACGAGAAAAUUAAAACAAACAUCAGCACUUUCAGUCUUUCGGAGCAUGGUGUCAGUACACUCCUCACUCCCUCCCUUCUUCAGAUAUAUAGCAGCAGCAUCAGGCUGUGGUGUCUCAUUUCAAGAGUGCUCCAGAAAGGCAAAAGGUGGCCACAUGUAUCUGAGACACAUGAACAGAAAGCAGACAAAAGAGCAACUUGUUUCAAGUUUUAUGAUUACUCAAAUCAUCACCGUAAGCCAGUAUUGAAAUCAAUGGCGUCUAAAUGAUGCGUAGUAGUAAAGGGGAGAAAAGGACACACUCCCAGCAGAAAUAUGAAUAAGAUAACAAUUACUGAGCUGAGCAUGCUGACCAUCUUCUUGCAGUGAACAUACAGGAAUACAGCACACGAUUUAUGAUCAAGAAGAAACACAUCGAUAACUAUCAAGAAUAUUUUGCACUGGAAAUUGAACCACUAAUUCAGAGCUGUAAACCAUUACAUUAGAUAUCUCAACUCUACAGCACCUCACUGCCUUAAAGGAGUGCCCUUUCUACUCUGCUAAGACAGGCUACAAAAGAAGUUUGUCAACUACUAACAUAUUUGUAAUUUGGGGAUCUAAGAGCACAAGCUAUUGACAAUUGCCAUGUCCUGAGUAACAAAAAGGUAUCAAGAAUCCAGUUCUGUGGACACUGCUGAGAAGCUCCAAUCAAUUUUCGGUAGCAGGAUUAGCUACAAAGUUGUUGUAGUAAGAAGUUUCACUUGGAUUAAGACUGCUCUGGGAACUCAGUAUGAGCAACGCUUGAGUUUUUUUGCAUAAUAACAUUAUCUCCAGAUUGGCGAUUCGGCAUAAGCCCAUUUGCAGGCCUCAUUUGUGGUGUUGCUGGAACAGAACUGCGAUGCGGUUCAAUCCCCUGGCUUGCCUUUACUGGAGCAAUCAGCUGGCUGGGAUGCAAAUAUUGAGUGCUUGCAGACUCUCGACCAUGUGCAUCGUUGAUAUUGUAAUCAGAUACACCCAACUGAGACGCCAGAUUAUCAAGUGUAACCUGCCAAGCAUUUUGGAUGGCUUGAGAGUUCUGCACGCAUUUUGCUCCCUGAGUUGUUGGUGCUGAUGAUUGAAAAGUCUGUAGUCCAGUACCAGCCGCUCUAUUGGGAUCAACCUGAAGAUGCGAUGAUGGCCGAACAUGUAAUCCCGGAGAUAUCAACACCGGCGCACCAAGAAAACGCUGAGAGGGGCGCCACUGAGUAAUGUUACUUCCUGGUGCCACCGGUGUUGUCUGAAAUACACGCGAGGAUGCUGGAGGCAAUGUGGCAUCGUUAGGGAGAGCACGGUUCGAAUUGUAACCAUUUGAGGGCAUAAGAACUGUAGGAGCAGCCCCAGAUGUUUUGAGUCUCUUACCAGAGAUUUGAGGGCCACGAGCUGAUGCUUUUGGCAGACGGACGACUCGCCCCACAUUCUGUGCAGCUCUAAUAGACGAAUGCAUCUGUUGAUUUUGGCUGACAUUACUUGCAACAGGAACUCUUCCCACAAAAGGUUGGUUUACUGGCCCUGAUGCUUUUGGCUGAUUGACAACUUGCCCCAGAUUCUGUGCAGCUCUAAUGGAGGGACGCAUCUGUUGAUUUUUGCUGACAUUACUUGUUGCAGGAACUCUUUGCACAGAAGGUUGGUUGACAGUCUUUCCCAAAGGUGGAAAUAGCUGUGGACCUGAUACUUGAUGCCCUGUAUACUGCUCUGAGGAUGGUGCUGUCAAGGGUGAGCGAACAAAUUUCUUGGUACUUCCACGCUGAGAUGGUGGCAGGCUCUUGCGCUUUAGUGAUUGCCUCAGUUUCUUCCACUUUUCAUCCUUAUCCGUAGCGUGACAAUGAUCAGUAGACAAGGUACCUUUACCCCAUCUGGGGCAUGGAGCAGGAGAAUCGCAAACAUAACAGUGGCACUGCAUUAAGAAGAAAUGAGCAAAAUAUGGUAAUGCAUCCAUGUUGGAACAAUUGAUAUUGAAUACAUGCUAGCAUAAACAAAAAUGCAUAAUAAAAUACUGUUCCAGAAUUUGAUCAGAGAAGGGGUUAACUAACCAUAGUGCAAUAGCUUGCAUGAGAACCAGUUUUGAACGGGAAUCCAGCACAUAGAUGGCGUGGAUGAGGGAAAUCCCUGCAUGCUACCUGAAAAACAAAAGAGAAUUGUAAGACCACAUAUACUUCUUCUUUUUUUCAGUUUGGAGCUUUGAGAUGGCUCCUGGAUGCAUAGGCACAACAAUUAAUGUGGCUCCACAUGCAAUCAGGGUGGGGCACCUUCAUUUCAUUGAAAAAGCACUAGUUUCUUCCACCAGCAUCUAUUAUAUGUAUACGAUACCAAUAUCCAGUAUAACUAAAGUCACCAUCAAAGUACAAUAUUAUCCAGUUAGAGCCUACCAAAUUGUAUUUUGCAAUAGCAGUGCAUGGGGAAGUCAGUCUUAUGAAAGGCCAUCCACGAUAUUCAGAUUGACGAUGGCAAUAAAACCACUGAAAUAUGAGUACAUUGCCUACCUUCCCCCAAGGGCUCUUAGGUGGUUGGUUGACGCACAAAAUUAAAUAAAAUAGCACAGGAAAUUAACGACCAAGUCAUGCAGGAGAGAUAGUUAUUACCAAAUCAGCCAUGAAAAAGUUAAUUCGACAAGAGCAAUCAAAUACAUGUAUGCUAUUGGCUUAGCACCUAAUUUCCUAGAUAAAAAAUAUACAAGUGAGACUAAAAUUUGCACAGAUUAGCCUACAAAUUAUUUCCCAAAACGUAAAUAGGGCCCAUCCUUGCUGAUAGCUGGUCAAUGUACAAAAUAAUCAUGGUACAAACAUAUAUGAACUGACAAAACAAUAUUUAACAAUGACAACGACAAUGUAUGACUCGAAAUGAAACGACAACCAUCCUCGUUGAUAGCUGGUCAAUGUACAAAACAAUAAUGGUAUACACAUAUAUGUGAACUCAUAAAACAAUACUCCAUGUAGCAACCAUUUUUCUAAAAAAAAAUGUAACAAUGAAGAUGAGAAUGUAUGACUCGAAUUAUGACGCGACAACCAUCCUUGCUGACAGAUGGUCAAUGUACAAAACAAUGAUGGCACACACAUAUAUGAACUGUCAAAACAAUAUGUAGCAACCAUUUUCUAAAAAACGUAUGUAACAAUGACAACGUAUAAACAAUAUGUAGCAACCAUUUUCUAAAUUUUUUUGUAACAAUGACGACGUAUAUGAACUGGCAAACAAUAUGUAGCAACCAUUUUCUAAAAAAAAUAUGUAACAAUGAUGACGUAUAUGAAUAUGUAGCAACCACUUUCUGCAAAAACCUAUGUAACAAUGAAGACUUAUAUGAACUGGCAAAAUAUGUAGCAACCAUUUUCUGUAAAAAAAAUGUAACAAAAUACAUAGCAGGUCAAUGUACAAAAUAAUGAAGAAUCAUACAUGAACCGACAAAACAAAUACGUAGCGAUGGAUGACGACAAUGUAUGACUUGAACUGCAACGUGACAACAUAAAUGAUGUGAGCAAAAAAGGCAAUACCUCUCCUUUCUCCGCGACAAUCUGCAAUUCUUCUUCUAAGCCAUCCUUCCCAAGUCUCUUCUCAUUGGCAACAGCAGCGGCCUUAAAAGGGUCACCAUCAAGCAUUACACAAUCAUCAUCCUCAUCACCACCACCUGGAGCAGCAUCGCAAGCACUCUUUUUUUCACCUUCCAGAGUUGCCAACAGUUCCUGUAUGAGCGCAGAAUCAUCCAAACCCUCCCCAGAUCCCUUGUAGUCAUCAAACAGAAGAUUCGAGGCCCACUCAAUGGCCUCGGCAGGUGACUUGACAGCAACAGGACUCUCCUUCCCCUCGUCGGAGGUGAUCUCAGCAGCACCCCGAACGGCCCUCGCCAUCCACCCCAAACCAAACUGGACUUCGUACUCGCAAAAGCCCCAAGAAAACCCCACGACGCCGGCCAAUAAUAAACCCUGCCGAAAAACCACACCAGCCGAUCACCGGGGAGACAGAAGAUGCGUGUCACCUUGAAAGAGGGUUUCUCUGGGAACCCGUCGUGGAGGGCGCCACGCCGAUCAAAACGCAAUCUCUGUUCCGGACAGAGGGGGAUUGCAAAUUUGCAACCCCCACUGAAAAGCCAGGGUUUUGCAGCAGGGGAAGAAGAAGAAGAAACGGCGGCGGCCGGCCGGAAGGAGCAAUGCACCUGGAAAAAAAAAACAAGAUGGAAGAUAAAUUAAACACACAAUUUCAUAUGAAAAAGAUUUCUGCAACUCAGUUCUUGAUCAAAGAAACAACGGCAAGAAACACGGCAGAUGAAAAAAGAACUACAGGAUACAAGUAAAACGGCAGGGCCGGAGGAGGGGGGUUUGUUUACCUGCCCUUCUCGUGGCCGCCGGACUAUUUUCCUUGUCGGCGGCGGCGUACGCGAGGAGGAGACGUACGGUGACGGCAGAAAGAGAGAGAGGGGCAGAAAGAAGGGCCAAAAUAGGAGAAGCAACUGCUGCAGAGGCCCCCGGCGGCCCCGGGUCCUCCUUGCUCCUAUCGCUUUCGGGUUUGCACCUACGCGCACACGAACUGGAUGGAAUUGGAACCGGGACUCGGAGACGGCCGGAGGAGCGGUCCCUUGCGUUGCGUCGCGCCGUGGGCCAACCCCCUUUGGCUUUGGCUUAUGUGAGGGGGCUCCUUUCUUUUCAUUCGCCUUUUAUUUAGCGCCCCUCCUCUGCUUCUGGCCUCUGGGUGCGCCGGGGCGGGGAAGGAAGGAGGAGGAGAAGGCUGCGGGGGGUGGUGGAUGUGGAUACCGUGCGUGGGACGCGAGCGGGCCGGCGGAGUGGGAUACGGCUGGAUGGACGGGCGAAUUGGCAGCGAGACUGCGAGAGGAGCGGCGCUACUUUUCCGUGGGUACGUGCUUGCUUGCGUGGGGAAGCAAACAAGGACUGGACGUGGACGCCGAACGGUAGGAAAGUGUACCGGUAUUAAAAAAAAAAUUUGACGGCAGGAAAGUGUACCGGUUCCUUCCUUUGUUACAUUUUCUUCCCCCUUUCCUACUUGUCUCUAUAUCUAUUUCAAGGAGAGAUGACAGUUUAUUUUUUGUUUUGAAACAAGAAGGGAUGACAGUUGGAGAGCUGUUA
rnacentral:lncRNA from 1 species